UGAAAGUUAGUUUAAUAAAAAACGUUGGCUUGUGGUGCUAAAGAAAGCAAAGGCUACUUUUAU
rnacentral:tRNA from 2 species